rnacentral:rRNA from 1 species
GAGUAACGCGUGGGUAACCUGCCUCAUACAGGGGGAUAACAGUCAGAAAUGGCUGCUAAUACCGCAUAAGCGCACAGAGCUGCAUGGCUCAGUGUGAAAAACUCCGGUGGUAUAAGAUGGACCCGCGUUGGAUUAGCUUGUUGGUGGGGUAACGGCCCACCAAGGCGACGAUCCAUAGCCGGCCUGAGAGGGUGAACGGCCACAUUGGGAUUGAGACACGGCCCAGACUCCUACGGGAGGCAGCAUG